rnacentral:rRNA from 1 species
UGCAAGUCGAGCGGUAGAGGGGAGCUUGCUUCCCUUGAGAGCGGCGGACGGGUGAGUAAUGCCUAGGAAUCUGCCUAGUAGUGGGGGAUAACGUUCGGAAACGGACGCUAAUACCGCAUACGUCCUACGGGAGAAAGUGGGGGAUCUUCGGACCUCACGCUAUUAGAUGAGCCUAGGUCGGAUUAGCUAGUUGGUGAGGUAAAGGCUCACCAAGGCGACGAUCCGUAACUGGUCUGAGAGGAUGAUCAGUCACACUGGAACUGAGACACGGUCCAGACUCCUACGGGAGGCAGCAGUGGGGAAUAUUGGACAAUGGGCGCAAGCCUGAUCCAGCCAUGCCGCGUGUGUGAAGAAGGUCUUCGGAUUGUAAAGCACUUUAAGUUGGGAGGAAGGUCAGUAACCUAAUACGUUGCUGAUUUGACGUUACCGACAGAAUAAGCACCGGCUAACUCUGUGCCAGCAGCCGCGGUAAUACAGAGGGUGCAAGCGUUAAUCGGAAUUACUGGGCGUAAAGCGCGCGUAGGUGGUUUUGUAAGUUGGAGGUGAAAUCCCCGGGCUCAACCUGGGAACUGCCUCCAAAACUGCAAAGCUAGAGUACGGUAGAGGGUGGUGGAAUUUCCUGUGUAGCGGUGAAAUGCGUAGAUAUAGGAAGGAACACCAGUGGCGAAGGCGACCACCUGGACUGAUACUGACACUGAGGUGCGAAAGCGUGGGGAGCAAACAGGAUUAGAUACCCUGGUAGUCCACGCCGUAAACGAUGUCAACUAGCCGUUGGGAGUCUUGAACUCUUAGUGGCGCAGCUAACGCAUUAAGUUGACCGCCUGGGGAGUACGGCCGCAAGGUUAAAACUCAAAUGAAUUGACGGGGGCCCGCACAAGCGGUGGAGCAUGUGGUUUAAU